rnacentral:rRNA from 1 species
AUACGUAGGGGGCGAGCGUUGUCCGGAAUGAUUGGGCGUAAAGGGCGCGUAGGCGGCCCGGUAAGUCUGGAGUGAAAGUCCUGUUUUUAAGAUGGGAAUUGCUUUGGAUACUGUCGGGCUUGAGUGCAGGAGAGUUAAGUGGAAUUCCCAGUGUAGCGGUGAAAUGCGUAGGGAUUGGGAGGAACACCAGUGGCGAAGGCGACUUACUGGACUGUAACUGACGCUGAGGCGCGAAAGUGUGGGGAGCAAACAGGAUUAGAUACCCUGGUAGUCCACACUGUAAACGAUGAAUGCUAGGUGUAGGGGGUAUCGACCCCUUCUGUGCCGCAGUCAACACAAUAAGCAUUCCGCCUGGGGAGUACGGCCGCAAGGUUGAAACUCAAAGGAAUUGACGGGG